rnacentral:rRNA from 1 species
UACGAAGGGGGGCUAGCGUUGCUCGGAAUCACUGGGCGUAAAGGGUGCGUAGGCGGGUCUUUUAAGUCAGGGGUGAAAUCCUGGAGCUCAACUCCAGAACUGCCUUUGAUACUGAAGAUCUUGAGUUCGGGAGGAGGUGAGUGGAACUGCGAGUGUAGAGGUGAAAUUCGUAGAUAUUCGGAAGAACACCAGUGGCGAAGGCGGCUCACUGGUCCGGUACUGACGCUGAGGUGCGAAAGCGUGGGGAGCAAACAGG